rnacentral:rRNA from 1 species
ACGGAAGGCGGCAGUGGGGAAUAUUGCACAAUGGGGGAAACCCUGAUGCAGCAACGCCGCGUGAGUGAUGACGGCCUUCGGGUUGUAAAGCUCUGUCUUUAGGGACGAUAACGACGGUACCUAAGGAGGAAGCCACGGCUAACUACGUGCCAGCAGCCGCGGUAAUACGUAGGUGGCAAGCGUUGUCCGGAUUUACUGGGCGUAAAGGGAGCGUAGGCGGACUUUUAAGUGGGAUGUGAAAUACCCGGGCUUAACCUGGGUGCUGCAUUCCAAACUGGGAGUCUAGAGUGCAGGAGGGGAAAGUGGAAUUUCUAGUGUAGCGGUGAAAUGCGUAGAGAUUAGGAAGAACACCGGUGGCGAAGGCGACUCUCUGGACUGUAACUGACGCUGAGGCUCGAAAGCGUGGGGAGCGAACAGGAUUAGAUACCCUGGUA